AAAAAAGGCUACUUUGUUUUGAGCUGACCUUCCCUGCUUGUCCUGAGAAAACUCAGCUACCUUAAAACGUUUGAAUCAACUAGUCUGAAAAAGCAAUCUGCAAGACAAAAGGGGGCAGGGUAAAUGCCCCGAUGGUUGGAAGUGAUUGGUGGAAAAUCCUUCUACUCUUGGGAACUGAGAGUUGGUACUUCAGAGGGAAGGGUAAAGAGAAGCUUCCCUGGACAAGUCCAUCUUGGCCUGAAAUUUGGCACCAGGAGAUAGAGCAUUUAACGCUGCACUUGAGUGGGGGCAGACUAGAACCUCCUGCAGGCUGAACCUGUGCUCUUGUGAGGACCACUUGCAAGCCAAUAACAGGCCCAGGAAACACAUUUUAUCUGGCUGUGGCUGAGCUGUCGGGAGUAAAUGGAAGAUCUUAGGUGCUUCUGGCAGAAGUGCCACACCACUCUUCAAGCUUCUUCAUCUGCCAAUCAGUUACCUAGAUCACCUAUUGCUGCUUCUGAAAAUCCUGGCUGAUGUCCCCUGAGAUGUAUUAUAGCCACCUCCUGGGGUAGAUUCACCACUUUCAAUAGCCCACCCUCAUGGGCUAAUGCUUUUCCUCUACAAAUUAACAAUCCUGUUAUCUUUUGGCACCAUUUGGCCUUACACUCCAUAAAAAAAUAAAUCAAAUCACUUGUUUUGGUUUAACCUGGCAGGUGGUCCAGCACCACACAGUCGUCUGCCCACUUGCCCUCCCUUUCCCAGUGUGACUGGGGAGAGAAUUU
ensembl:lncRNA